rnacentral:rRNA from 1 species
UACGAAGGGGGCUAGCGUUGCUCGGAAUCACUGGGCGUAAAGCGCACGUAGGCGGAUUCCUAAGUCGGGGGUGAAAUCCUGGAGCUCAACUCCAGAACUGCCUUCGAUACUGGGAAUCUUGAGUCCGGAAGAGGUGAGUGGAACUGCGAGUGUAGAGGUGAAAUUCGUAGAUAUUCGCAAGAACACCAGUGGCGAAGGCGGCUCACUGGUCCGGUACUGACGCUGAGGUGCGAAAGCGUGGGGAG